UGAGACCACCAAAACAAGAUAUAUAUAGAGGCUCAACAUAACUAAACAAUAUGCUUUCACUACUAUAAGUCUAUAACCCAUAACACUAAACCAAUUCCUACUACAUAGAUACACUUCCCACCUUAAUUAACCAACCCCAUUCCCUUCAUAAAACUACAAUUACUCUACCGACACAUAUCUUCAUUCAUAAACACUUUCAAAACAUCUCAAUGAAUUGCUUCUCUUAUUAGUUACAAUGACUCCUUCAAUAACCACUUUCAAAGUAAUCAUCUUCAUUUUCUUCUUGUGCACCCCUCUUGAUGUUAGUAGUGUUGUCUAUCCAAGUUAAAUUUCCUAUGUGGAUUAAGGCACGUGACCAAAAUUUGCUACGUCAAAAUUGUCUCUAGUAACUUGAGUUACCGUCAAAAUCAUUUGACCGCAUACUACACAGCUACCUUUGGUGUUAGUGUUCAAGGGUUCAUAACAAAAGACAUUUCUUUCAAAAACAAAACAAAGUCCGUAUAUUCGAAGGUUGUAGCAUUACGAUCAAUUUGGUUAUGAAGAUGUCAAUAUCAAUUACCAAUUCUAUAGAGAAUGCAAAAUCAGUGGACUUGCAGUAUUUCAAAAUUGUCAAAUAUUGGUAAAAAAAAGGAUUACCAAAACAAAGUAACACAAUCACAGCUCAAGGAGGAAGAAAUCAUGUUAUCAAACCAUAUGAGUUUUUCAAUUCAAUUUUGCAA